rnacentral:rRNA from 1 species
AUUGAACGCUGGCGGCAGGCCUAACACAUGCAAGUCGAGCGGAUGAAGGGAGCUUGCUCCUGGAUUCAGCGGCGGACGGGUGAGUAAUGCCUAGGAAUCUGCCUGGUAGUGGGGGAUAACGUCCGGAAACGGGCGCUACUAACGCAUACGUCCUGAGGGAGAAAGUGGGGGAUCUUCGGACCUCACGCUAUCAGAUGAGCCUAGGUCGGAUUAGCUAGUUGGUGGGGUAAAGGCCUACCAAGGCGACGAUCCGUAACUGGUCGGAGAGGAUGAUCAGCUACCCUGGAACUUAGACACCGUCCAGACUCCUACGGGAGGCACCAGUGGCGAAUAUUGGACAACGGUCGAAAGCCUCACCCAGCCAUCCCGCGUGUGUGGAGAAGGUCUUCGGAUUGUAAAGCACUUUAAGGUGGGAGGAAGGGCAGUAAGUUAAGACCUUGCUGUUUUGACGUUACCAACAGAAUAAGCACCGGCUAACUUCGUG